rnacentral:rRNA from 1 species
UACGGAGGAUGCGAGCGUUAUCCGGAUUUAUUGGGUUUAAAGGGUGCGCAGGCGGCACGGCAAGCCGGCGGUCAAAUCGCGGGGCUCAACCCCGCCCAGCCGUCGGAACUGCCGGGCUAGAGUGGGCGAGAAGUGCGCGGAAUGCGUGGUGUAGCGGUGAAAUGCAUAGAUAUCACGCAGAACUCCGAUUGCGAAGGCAGCGUACCGGCGCCCUACUGACGCUGAAGCACGAAGGCGUGGGUAUCGAACAGG